AUUGAACGCUGGCGGCAGGCCUAACACAUGCGAGUCGAACGAAGCCUUCGGGCUUAGUGGCGCACGGGUGCGUAACGCGUGGGAAUCUGCCCUUGGGUUCGGAAUAACAGUUAGAAAUGACUGCUAAUACCGGAUGAUGUCUUCGGACCAAAGAUUUAUCGCCCAAGGAUGAGCCCGCGUAGGAUUAGGUAGUUGGUGGGGUAAUGGCCCACCAAGCCGACGAUCCUUAGCUGGUCUGAGAGGAUGAUCAGCCACACUGGGACUGAGACACGGCCCAGACUCCUACGGGAGGCAGCAGUGGGGAAUAUUGGACAAUGGGCGAAAGCCUGAUCCAGCAAUGCCGCGUGAGUGAUGAAGGCCUUCGGGUUGUAAAGCUCUUUUACCAGGGAUGAUAAUGACAGUACCUGGAGAAUAAGCUCCGGCUAACUCCGUGCCAGCCGCCGCUGUAA
rnacentral:rRNA from 1 species